rnacentral:rRNA from 1 species
AAUCAACGCUGGCGGCGUGCCUCAGACAUGCAAGUCGAACGUGAAAGUUCCUUCGGGGGAUGAGUAAAGUGGCGCACGGGUGAGUAACACGUGGGUAAUUUGCCUUCGGGUGGGGAAUACCAACCGGAAACGGUUGUUAAUACCGCAUGGUGCAGCGGCUCCGAUUGGAGACAGUUGUUAAAGCGGGGGGAGCGGAGCAAUCCGUCCUCGCGCCUGAAGAGAAGCCCGCGGCGGAUUAGGUAGNGGUGAGGUAAUGGCUCACCAAGCCUGCGAUCCGUAACCGACCUGAGAGGGUGGUCGGUCACACUGACACUGACA